rnacentral:misc_RNA from 1 species
CGGUGGUGUCCUGAGCAAAGGUAUGGUAUAAAGCGCGCCGGAAUGGGGAACUUGCGUCCACAUUUCAUCACCCUUAAUCAAUAACACACACACAUCGACACCUGUACCGGGGUGCCCCUUUGGGGUCGGUUACAUGGGAUGUGUGGAGGCCUAACC